CUUGUCUUGAAGAUAGGCUCCAUUGCUGUACACAGGAAACAGCAAGAAAGAAAUACAGCUACUUCUUUGGAGGGAGGUUACAAUUAGAUAAUAACAAGUAGGCUACAUUUCAGCAUUCAAGAUCUUUUGCAUCUAAAAAAGCACUUCAGGCUGGUGGCCCUUCUGAGCAUGGCAGCAAGAAAGUCUAAGAAGGUACUCACCAGUC